rnacentral:lncRNA from 1 species
CUCUUAACCAGUGGUAAGUAGAAUGAAGACAUUUAUGUACAGUAUGGUCUCUGAAAAUUUGCCUGCUGCGUAUUCUUUUUAGGAAGCUCCUUCAGAAUGAACUGCAGCAAAAGCAAAUGAGCAAACCAAGAGAGAAAAAGACAUUGGAUUUGGGACAGCAUGACUGAAUACAGGAGAGCAAUAAUGGGCCUUCCCAGAAAGAUGUCCAUGCAGGAUGUCCUGAGAUCCCUGAGCCAGUGCUGAAGCCAGGAUACGGUGGAACUUCAGAGGAAGGUCAUUAAGGAAAAAGGCCCCUGUGUGCCGUGAGGCCCCGGGUCUCCACCGCUGUCUCCUGGCCCGGCAGGAUCUGUGUAUCCUGGUGACUGAGCAAUGCACCUUCUCAAGGCCCAACCAGGCCUGCCUCAUCUGAAGCUUUAACAAGCCGAAUGGGGUCCAAAGUUGCUUCCCACACUUGGAAAACAAGAAUAGUUACCCAUCCCACCCGCUCUUACCCCUACCCCGGCCCAAUAGAAAAAAGAAAAACACAACAGUAUGUAUUAAAAGUAGUUUUCCAUUUAGUUCCUGGCUAAAUUUGUAUGAGAAGUUAUGAAAAGAUAGAUAA